UAUGUGAACAAAUUCGUGCGUGUUACGACUAUUUGAAUUUUUACGAAAGAUGUAUUGUCGUAAUGGUUAAUUAACCGAUAAUCGCGAUAAAUUUUCAUCAACGAUGAAUGAAUUUGAAUAAACUACGAAGAAUAGGUUAGGAUUCGCUUGAAAAUAAUUAGCCCUAUUGCAUAUGCGUGUUGCGUAUUGAUGGUAAUUAUAAAUAAACGAUUUAACAAUGAUUGCAAUGAACAUUUGCAUUUGUUUAACGAAUAAGUAUACGUAUCUGAACUACUUAAUAAAUCAAAAAAAUGUUGUAAGUUAAAUCUACGUGUGAAUCAACGAAUGAACAAUUAGCAUUGAUAUUGUAGCAUUGAUGUGAAAUAUAAAUGAAGUAAACAAAUAAAAUUAAUUAUACUGAAUUAAAUGUUUCAUUAUGGAAAUAUUUUUAUAAAUAUUCACAACAAUAACAAUGCAUGUUCUCUUUCUAAAAGAAGUAUAUAGAACAGAAACUAGAUUUCACGAAAACGAAAACAGGCAGUUUCGAAGAGUGAAUUAGAUUUCAAAGGAUUGUUAACAUUCACAGCGAUCCGUAAGUGUAUCCUCGCGCUUUCUUUUCAUACAAACAUGGAUAAUUAACCGAGCAUAAGCAAUUUUUUCACCUGGUCGAAGUGAAAUUCAACUGGACAUAAUCUGUUUGGAAAGAGUUACGUAUCCGGGUAUCGAAGCAACGAUAUCUCCUCGACGUAUCAAUAUCUCUUCGAAAUUGUACAAGGCGGAUGAUCUAUUCCCAGUCUACUCGUCUUCAAAGAGACAAAUCGUCAUUCGCUUGAAGCCUCUUGGACGAUGAUACGGGAGAAAUGACGAGAGAUAAGUGAAACCAAAGUUCAAACGUUCACGGACGACUUUCCCCGUAAUGUUUUCGACACGAACAGGAUUCUGUGGUUGAAACGUUAAGUUAGGAAAGAUGUGUACUAUCAUUGUAUAUAUAACUAUCAUUUAAUUAUUGCAGGAGUUAGUAUAAGGAUAUAUGUAUGAGUGUAUAUCCAUGAUAAGUGGUAUGAGAGAUGAAAGGAUAUGUGGAGAACGAAUUCAGCGUAUAUUUCGAUUUAUGUGUUAAGAAUAAGACAAAAGAAUAUUAAUAGUUUACAAUGCUGGAUCAAAGAUUUGAGAUUGAGAUUUGUGUAUCGAAUAUACAACGAAAAAAGAAAAAAAAUAGAGAAAUAUAUAUUUGUAUACGAAUCUGCAUUGAUAUAACCUAAAACUUUUGAAUUAUCGAGAGAGGAAAAGGAAAAACAGAUGAUUUUUCUUAGCAAUAAGAAAGAAUAUUGAUAGUUUACAAUGUGAAAUAUAGAAUGAGAAAUAUACAACGAAAGAAGAAUAGAAAAAUAUAUAUAUUUGUACACGAAUCUGUCUACCAAUGACAUAACCUAAAACUUUUGAAAGAGGAAAAGCGAAAAUAUUCUUGAUGGAUAUGAUUUCUCUAGAUAAAUCGAGGACAAGGAGAAAGGGGGAAAUAAGGAAGAGAGACGGAUUAAUAGGAGAAUCAUAGGAGCAAUGACGUUAUCCUGGGAUAACGGGUGACCAGGUGCAUCGGGCACAUCGCCACCUAGGAAGUGGAUACGAGGUCUGACGGUUACCUCGUCAUCUUGACCAUUCUGCAGGAUACGAUGAGGCCUUCAGGCAACACGCUACUUUCUUUAAUUUAUAUCCCUCCGUAUAAUAUCGUACCAUGGAAAUAUCGUGGAUAAUCAGCUUUUAACACGUUGAACACCGCACAAGAAUCAAGGAUUUUGCUACAGAUCCAUUUGUGAUUUAUUAUUUAGGAGAAUGAAGGAUCCUUUGCAAAAUUUUUGCAUUGUUUAGACUUAAUUAUCGAAUCGAUGAA